CUUGACAAAAUAUAAGAGGUCCAGCCUGCCCAGUGACCUAGUUCAACGGCCGCGGUAUCCUAACCGUGCGAAGGUAGCGUAAUCACUUGUUCUUUAAAUGAGGACUAGUAUGAAUGGCACCACGAGGGUUAAGCUGUCUCCUUUUUCUAAUCAGUGAAACUAAUCUCCCCGUGAAGAAGCGGGGAUCACCCUAUAAGACGAGAAGACCCUAUGGAGCUUAAAACAAAUUAACACCUGCUUCUAUCCACUUUCCUUCCUGAAUUGACACAUAAAAUAUAGCACUAUUGAUUAAUAGUUUUCGAUUGGGGUGAUCAUGGAGCAAAAACCAACCUCCACGACGAAAAGGAGCACUUCCCUGAGCUAAAAGCUACAACUUUAAGCACUAAAAAAUUAACGCACUUUGACCCAAAUUUUUGAGCAACGAACCAAGUUACCCUAGGGAUAACAGCGCAAUCCAUUUUAAGAGCCCCUAUCGACAAAUGGGUUACGACCUCGAUGUUGGAUCAG
rnacentral:rRNA from 1 species